ACCAUUUAGGAGUACCAAACCAGGUUUGAAAGGUUAUCUAAUUAAACUCAUGAUUGGUCUGAAAAACAGCUAUUGGGGACCUUUAUUGAGGGCUUAAAGCCGGAGAUCCAGGGAGAAGUUAAGACGCGACAACCAUACACACUUAUGGCAGCCAUCUCUUUCGCACGACUUCAAGAGGAGCGAUUGAACCAUGAAGCCCGGAGGACUAGGAUCACUCCUC
rnacentral:lncRNA from 1 species